rnacentral:lncRNA from 1 species
GAAAAACCAUCAUGACAAUUGCUUUGCUUGCUCAUUUAGCUUGUGAGAAAGGAAUAUGGGGCCCCCAUCUGAUUGUUGUCCCAACCAGUGUCAUGCUCAACUGGGAAACCGAGUUUCUUAAAUGGUGUCCUGCUUUUAAAAUAUUGACCUAUUUUGGAAGUGCAAAAGAGCGAAAGAUAAAGAGGCAAGGGUGGUUAAAACCCAAUUCUUUUCAUGUUUGCAUAACGACUUACAGGCUUGUGAUUCAGGAUUCAAAAGUUUUCAAGAGGAAGAAGUGGAAGUACNAAGUCGCAGAGAGCAGAAUGUUCUAUGGUUUUUAUAAUGUUUUCCAAAAUCUUAUAUAUUGUUUACUCAAAACCUUGAGGGGCAAGAUGGAAUGUCUUUGUUUCUUAGUUAUAGUGUAAAUUUGGUGGAGUAUAUUGAUAUGUUGACUUGCCUUAGCAUGUGCUGAAAAUUUCAAUGGCUUAUUUCAACGCAUUACUUUGAUGUUCAGGAUGAUGAAACAACCCUGUUAGAGGAGGAGGAAAUAGCAAAGGCAGAAUCAAAUGACACCGUGGAUGAGGUAAAAUCAUGCAUUUCUAGCUUUUCUUUUCUUAAAUACUACCUCCUAGUUUGAAGUUUUAUUUCCUCCAAAGAUUAAUCUGAAUUUUUACUUCCAAUGACAUUUGCACAUGCACAAAUUAAGGUUCAUAUGAUAAUUGAAAGCUACUGUUUUCCAGAUUGCACUGCUGCAAAGGGAAAGUGAAAUUCCUAUACAUGAGCUGCUUGCGAGGUAUAAAAAGGUAUGUUGUAGAUUGCUUUUAUAUUGUCCGUUCUGGGUUCAAAUCCCAUUUUCAUCCAGUUAUUGUAUGAAUGCUCUUCUCAGGAAAGUUGCACCGAUGAAGAUGUGGAUGUUGAUUCUGAAUCUUCACGUGCUUCUGCUUCUGAGGAAUCCUUUGCUUCACCAGCACUGAUGAACUCUGAAUGUAAGCAGCCUGGUGAUCAAUCGAAUGAAUUUCAGCCCAACACGUGCUGCCAUGCAGAAGAUGGAAUUGAGUAUAUUGGGAAAUCUAGAGAUGAUAAACAGAGUGAAAAUAUAAUUGCUGAUGCAGCUGCUGUUGCCAGGUCAGCGCAACCAACUGGAAACACAUUCUCAACAACAAAAGUGCGGACUAAGUUCCCUUUUCUUCUCAAGUAUCCUCUCCGUGAAUAUCAACAUAUUGGCUUGGAUUGGCUGGUGACAAUGUAUGAGAAGAGACUUAAUGGGAUUCUUGCUGAUGAAAUGGGUUUAGGAAAAACCAUCAUGACAAUUGCUUUGCUUGCUCAUUUAGCUUGUGAGAAAGGAAUAUGGGGCCCCCAUCUGAUUGUUGUCCCAACCAGUGUCAUGCUCAACUGGGAAACCGAGUUUCUUAAAUGGUGUCCUGCUUUUAAAAUAUUGACCUAUUUUGGAAGUGCAAAAGAGCGAAAGAUAAAGAGGCAAGGGUGGUUAAAACCCAAUUCUUUUCAUGUUUGCAUAACGACUUACAGGCUUGUGAUUCAGGAUUCAAAAGUUUUCAAGAGGAAGAAGUGGAAGUACCUGAUUCUGGA